rnacentral:rRNA from 1 species
CACGUAGGGGGCGAGCGUUGUCCGGAUUUAUUGGGCGUAAAGAGCUCGUAGGCGGCUCAGUAAGUCGGGUGUGAAAUUUCAGGGCUCAACCCUGAAACGCCACCCGAUACUGCUGUGGCUAGAGUCCGGUAGGGGAGCGUGGAAUUCCUGGUGUAGCGGUGAAAUGCGCAGAUAUCAGGAGGAACACCGGUGGCGAAGGCGGGUCUCUGGGCCGAUACUGACGCUGGGGAGCGAAAGCGUGGGGAGCGAACAGG